CAGAAGCCCUCUGUGAACUUCAGGUCUGCCUUAGGAGGGACGCUUCCAGCGAGGGAGCGCGUGAUGAAGUCUGCAGGCAUUGCUGGGGCAACGCUAAGUGGCCGCUGGCCAGGGUAGAAGUUAAACCAGGAGAUGGCUGUCAAAUGCAGUUGUUAGGUGUGGCACAUCUUUCUCAAGCUGCUGAGCUGAGCAGGAAAGAGAGACGUUUGUUUAUGGAUUUAUCUCAUCUAUAAGACACUCUUAUUAGAUGAACUCUAUAUCAGUUCUAUGUAGAACUCUGUACCAGUUCUAUAAGGCACUCUUUAAUCUGAAUCUUUUUAUUUGCUCAAGAGAAAAAUAAGUCUGACUUGCAUCCCAUUGAAGAUUUAGAUUGCACUGUUUACAUCUUUCACCUGCGCCGCGGUAGCGUCCUCUACCGAUGCUAUCCUACGUUGAUUUUUCCAGCAACCUGGGAAGCAACCUCAUAGGUGGUUUGGGAUGUCUUUUGGCUGUGCUUAAAAAUUUCCAACAGAUUUGCUACACAUCUUAGGAUAAAUAUGUUUCCUGUGAAUUGUGAUGAUUUCUUACAGUACAUUUGCAAGCAUGUGUAUGCAUCUGCAGGAAACAUAGCCUGGCUCUGUGAAGGAAUACUGCUGUGACCGCAAAACUGUUUCUGUAGAAUUUUCUCCGGUGUGGUCAUCCUGCCUUCAGCUUCAGGAAAAAGAGGACCUUAGAACUGAAGGAGCAAGAUUCCAACAUCACACUGUUUUUGUUAGCUGUGUGUGUGUGUUUCCUGUGUAUCCAAAAGACAGAGGAGAUGAAAAAGCAAAAGAAAAGAAACGAGGAAUCAGAUUGGAAAGAAGGUUUCUCCAGGACGUCACCUGUAUGAGGUACACAGUGUGAUGACACACUCUGUGCUUUUCCUACUUGUGUCCACGGCUCAAGCCUGGAAGAAGCCUUAGGACGUGGGGGAAAUGUCUAACGUGGAGUCCACCUGCUGAGCAGGACCGGGUGUGAAGGAAGAAGCUUUGUUCUGAUUCCUCAUGGCCCAGCCACCCCUCGCCUGAGCUGAGCCUGGCCACAGGGCCCGCCUGCAGGAAGGGCUGGCCCAUGGCUUCACACUGGGCUCAGGCUGCGCUAAGAGCCCCGGGUGAGGACCUCCAAGCCCAGGAAGCCUCAGUUGGCCAAAGUGCUAGAUGCGUGUGGUCUGCUUUCAUCCCCGCUUCCCUCAGAGCUUGCAUUUUCCAAAUUCAAGAGAGGCUCCACCUUCAAGAAGACCGGCCUGUCCCUGUUAUUUAUGUGUCCCCCUACCAUAUCUCCCUUUGUUCUGCAGAGCGGUACGCAUAAAAAGCUUUUGGGGAAGGGGAGAAGUGUGGCUCAGUGACUUGCACAGGAAAUUGGAAAUUGGAUCCCCAGGUCUACCCCCACUCCUCUGACUCAUGCUUAAACAAACCCAACACAUGCCCUGACCUUUGCUCUCUCCCUCUAUUGCAGGCCAUACCUGCCAGCAGCCUGCUCUCCCGGCCAUGCUGCGGUUCACAAAAGUCCAGCAUUUGGCUAGCUUCCUGGGGGAAUGAAUCUUUCAGAGCCAAACUAAUGCUAUGCAUGCAGCUUAUGAUUUUUUUUUUUUUGUCUUCAACAAAGUGAAUACUUACUUUUUUUUUGCUCUUUAAAUUGUCAUCCAUUAUAUUCAUCAACACAGAGAGAUGGAACAUUUGGCAAAAUUAUUUUAAGUAGCACUCCAACCUGUGAUCGUAAUUUCAAAUCAAGGAAUUUGCUGAGCAGCUGUGGGGAAGAACAAAAGGCCUGAGAGUGAUUUAGGGCCUGGGGGAGGGGAGGCGGUGGAGUUGAAGGCCCCAGCCGGUAGCAGAAACAGCUGGGGAGGUAGGUUGUGCACACCCCGUGGGGGAGCCGGCCUUCUCAGCCCUGCCAUCCCAUCCACACGUGCCUCAUCAGAGAGUUUUCGUCUCCUGAACAUACCACAUGCAGCACUUUAAAAUAGAUAAACUAAGAGGAUUCAGAUUCAGUUUGAUACCCUCGCUGAGAGCUUCGGCUCGGGAGUUGGACAGGCCUGGCCUUGAAUCCUGGCUCUGCCUCUCACCAGCCUCAGUUGCAUCAUCUGUAAAAUGGGGCUAAUGUAGCAAUCACUUCGCAGAUAUUACUAUGAGGUUGAGUGUUUAUUUGACCCAGUCACUGGCAUAGAACAAGUGUUCAAAAUACUAUUAUUAUCACCAAUAUGCAGAAAUGUUCAAUGUAUACACUCGGUUUUUGCAACCAAUUUAUUCAAUGAACAUCUAUUGAGCACCUGUUAUGUGUUAGGUGCAGGGCUGGGUGUUGUGUGGGUACAAACACAUAAAGCAUAGGAAUUAAUAUGCUAUUAGAUAAACUAAAAAGACUUCUAUUGACUUAAAAAGUAAUAAUGACUUCUAAGCAUAUUUAAGUAAUUUACGAAAGAGCCUUUCUUUUUUUUAUUUUUGAGAUGGAGUCUUGCUCUGUCUCUCAGGCUGGAGUGUAAUGGUGCUAUCUCAGCUCACUGCAACCUCUGCCUCCCGGGUUCAAGCAAUUCUUGUGCCUCAGCCUCCAGAGUAGCUGGGUUUAUAGGCGCGUGCCACGACGCCCAGCUAAUUUCUGUGUUUUUAGUAGAAACGGGGUUUCACCAUGUUGCUCAGGCUAUCUUGAACUCAUGACCUCAGGUGAUCCACCUGCCUCGGCCUCCCAAAGUGCUGGGAUUACAGGUGUGAGCCAUUGCACCCGGUCAAAAGAGGCUUUCUUAACAGAUGGUCUAUUAGAAGCAAUUUGAAAAGAAAAUAUAGAGUUGAAAAAAAUAAAAGGGAAGCUGCAUUCUUUUUAAUUGUUUUUGAACUUGUUGCUUUUCAACACAGCUAUUAUCUAAAUUAACUUAAUUUCUUAAAAUAAGCCCUGCUUGAUACCCGGGAACCUUCAAUCAACUAAUUUGCAGAUAAUCAGACCUAUUUACAAAUAGUCUGGUUUGUCUGAGUGACUUUCAGUGACACAUGCAUACUCAGAAAGGGUAUCAUUUGCCAGGGAUUAGUCAGUUCUGCUGAAUUACAGUCUUCAGAAUGAGAAGUCAUCUAGUUCAACCUUUCAUCCUUUUAAUAGAAUUUCUGGUGGAUAACAGCUGAGCUUCUCCUCCGACUCUGCUAGGAAUGGAGAACUUACUACUUCAAAACGUAGAUGCUGCCUGGGUUGAGCAGCUCUAAAUGUUCAAGAUGGAAUCAUUAAUAGGAAACUAAUUGAAAAGAAUUUGCAUAGCACGUCUCAAGGACAAAAAUCCCUUCUGUUGUUUUUUCCUUUUGUCUUGGUCUGCAUCUCUGUCAUUUGGUGGUGUUUGGACUGCCUGUCUGUCUUCCCUUUUUACUCCGAGCGGCGGCCUGCCCUCUGCCCCCUGCCCCCAGGGGAACAACAAUGGCCCUGAUCACAAUUGGGUGGCCAAGCAUAUCAUGCCGUGGAAGUUUGGAGCCAACACUCAGUUCCAGUUGCUCCUCUCCUUAUUCUCUAGGGUGGCUCCACUAGGUUCUGCUUUCUCAGAAAACAGCAGUGAACUUUGUUCAGCCGAAACCCUAUUUCCCAAGCUGAUACUUGCUCACUGGCCUCCCCUCCUCCAGCUGCUCCCAACUGCUGACCACUUCUUGAGCGCACUGCUAGCUGCUUCUGCUGUUCCAGCACUUCCUGGAAGGCAGCUGCAAGCAGCCGAGGCAGAUGGAGCCCAAGCCCUGUUGCUUGUGGUCUUGGCUUACUGAGCCUGAAUCCACGACCGGAUCAUUAGAAAAGGGACGGUGUGUGUGCCUACCUUUGAAGCCAGUAGGCCAAAAGAAGGGUGAGCAGGACAGCGCCAUAACACCUAGAGUUACUGUGUUUGGUUCACACUUCUGGUUUCCUGCAGAAUUGCUAGAAUUUUUAAAAAAAGGAAGCAGCAAGUUGAGAGCAACUAAAGUAAAAAGAGAAAAGUGAUACAAAGGGAAAGGUUUAUUUUUGGAGCUCUUAGAUUCUGAAACUCCUUCUGACUCUUUUAUCCUUUUACCUCUCCCUUUCUCCUCACUGGGCUCUUUGUCCUCAUGGGGACUGUGCAUCUCUGGUCUCACUCUAGCUCUGGGUCCCUUAGGCUCUUCUGGUUUUCUGGCUCCUGGAGUGAGCCCUUUCAAUGAGGCCCUCCCUCAAUUUCCCAUCCCUCUUGUUCUUCUGCCAUCCAGACUCAUCACAGCCCAAAUCUGAGACCAGCUGGCUGCACCGCUGGCUACUCAGAGCGGCUGGAGACAGCCAUGCCCUGGGGCGACUUGUUCCAUGGUGAUCUGACUGGUUCAUGCAGGGGUCUCGGACCUCACGGACCUCAUCAGGAGCAUCAAAUGGGGUUUUUUUUGGCCGGAAUGAUAUUUAAAACAAUUUGAUUUAGUUAUGAGCAUUUAAGAAAUAGGAGGUCACCAGAAAAUCCAGAGUUUUAGCUCGGCAAGCAGAGAUGGAGAGCUGGCGGUACCCGGUCUUUACCCAUUCUGGAAGGACCACUGGCUGGAGCUGAGAGGCAGUGGCUUCUCUGACAUGGGGCAUACACUCCAUUUUGCUACCUUCUCUGCAACAACAGAGAGUGUCUUCCUGGACCCCAAACUGAGAAUCAGAUGCCUUUAAUCAACGGGCUUGCUUCCUCCCACUCCCCAGACAACCUGAUUCAUGAGAUGCCUGCCUGUUCCCCGUGGGCAUCUGAGUUUGCAGCCCAUGCUCAGUAGAGUUUAUUCGGCAAUCCUUUUCCUGACCUAUAGCAGACUCCUAGCCCACCACAUUUCUAAUGCAGCUGUUGCAAGUCUUGUCCAGACCUUUCAGACCCUUGAUCUCUCCGGGAGAUUGUGCCUCAUACAUUAUUGAAAAGAUUGAGGCCACACAACAUGUGCUCUAAUGCCUCAGCUUUCUGCCUUUCUGCUUCUAAGGUCUCUGUUCUCUCUCCAUUCCGUCCUCCUUCCCUCCUUUCUGACUCUCUUUUUCUUUUUUUCAUCACUUUUAAAAAUUGUAAAAUAGAAUGUACGUACAGAAAAAGGAGGCCGAGGCAGGAGAAUCACUUGAACCUGGGAGACAGAGGUUGCAGUGAGGCGAGAUCACGCAUUGCACUCCAGCCUGGGCAAUAAGAGUGAAACUCUGUCUCAACAAAAAAGAAAAACAAAAAAGAACCAAAAAAAACCCCCCAAAACCAAAGAUAUACAGUUCAGUGAUUUAUCACAAAGUCAACACCAGUGUCAUUAUCAGCCUGAUCGAGAACUAGAACUCUGCCCUCCCUCACCCUGGACGUACUCUUCAUUCCCCCGUCCACCUCUACCCUCCCUCCCUAUCAGAGGCGACCAUUAUCCUGACUUUUUAUGUAAAGCAUCUUUGUUUAUCUUUACCACCUAAAUAUAUAUAUAAACAGAUGUUUAUAGCAGUUUUAUUCAUAACUGUAAAAACUUGAAAGCAACCAAGAUGUCCUUUAGUAGGUGAAUAGAUAAUAAACUGGGAUACAUUCAGGCAAUGCACCAUUAUUCAGUCCUCAAAAGAAAUGAGCUAUCAAGCCAUGACAUGAUAUGGAAGAACUUUAAAUGCAUAUUACUAAGUGAAAGAAGACAGUCUGAAAAGACUAUAUGCUGUGUGAUUCCAACUAUAUGUCAUUGUGGAAAAGGCAAAACUGCAGAGGCAGUAAAAGGAUCAGUAAUUGGCCGGGCGCAGUGGCUUACAUCUGUAAUCCAAGCACUUGGGGAGGCUGAGGCGGGCGGACCAUGAGGUCAGGAGAUCCAGGCCAUCCUGGCUAACACGGUGAAACUCCGUCUCUACUAAAAAUUCAAAAAAUUAGCUAGGCGUGGUGGCAUGCGCCUGUAGUCCCAGUUACUCGGGAGGCUGAGGCAGGAGAAUCGCUUGAACUCGAGAGGCGGAGGUUUCAGUGAGCCAAGAUGGCGCCACUGCACUCCAGCCUGGGCAACAGAGCAAGACUCCGUCUCACACACACAAAAAAAGAAUCAGUAAUUGCCAGGGAUUAGGGGGAGGGAGGGAUCAAACAGUGCAGCACAGAGGGUUUUUAGCACAGUGAACUACUCUGUAUGAUACUAUCAUGAUGGGCACCUGUCAUUAAACAUUUGUCAAAACUUGUAGAAUGUACAAGACCAAGAGAGAACCCUAAUGUGAACUAUGGAUCCUGGGCGAUACCGAUGUGCCAGUGUAGGCUCAUGGAUUGUAACAAACACACAGCCCAGGUGGGGGAUGUUGACAGUGGGGAAGGCUGUGCUAUGUGGGGGGCAGAGGGUAUAUGAGAUAUCUCUGUACCUUCUGUUCAAUUUUGCUGUGAACCUAAAACUGCUCUAAAAAAAUAAAAUCUUAAAAAAAAGGAAAAAAGUCUCUUUAAAUGCUAAGAUUUAGUUUUUGGCUAAACUAAACUUUAGCAUUUCAAUGCUAAAGGCUGUUUUUUUUUUUUUAACUUUAUAUAAAUGUAACUAAACAGUGUGUAUUCUUUCAUGCGCCGCACUUUUUACUCAACAUUAUACUUGUGAAAAUCAUCCAGGUUGUCAUGUGUAGGUGUAGUUUGCAGUUUUUAUCAGUGGAUAGUAUUACAUUAAAGAAAUGGCAUAAUUUGUCUGUCUAUUCUACUCUUGACGGACAUUUAGGUUGUUUCCAGUCUAGGGCUAUUAUAAAUGACGCUUCUGUGAUCAUCCUUGCUCUUGUGUGCUGGUGGAGGCAUAUGUGUGUUUCUGAGGGUAUUACUCUGAGCCUGGAGUCUUCUUUGUGGAAAGGUUUAAAUUAUCAAUUCAGUUUAUUGAAUGGUUAUUGGGUUAGUUAAGAUUUACAUACUUUCUUGUGUCCAUUUUUGAUAAAUUUUCUUUUUAAGGGAUUCACCAAUUUAUCUAAAUUUGCAAAAUGUUUUGGC
rnacentral:lncRNA from 1 species